rnacentral:rRNA from 1 species
UACGUAGGGUGCAAGCGUUGUCCGGAAUUAUUGGCGUAAAGAGCUCGUAGGCGGUCUGUCGCGUCGGCUGUGAAAACUCGGGGCUCAACCCCGAGCCUGCAGUCGAUACGGGCAGACUAGAGUGCGGUAGGGGAGACUGGAAUUCCUGGUGUAGCGGUGAAAUGCGCAGAUAUCAGGAGGAACACCGGUGGCGAAGGCGGCAUCCUGGACCAACACUGACGCUGAGUGAGCGAAAGCCAGGGGAGCAAACGGG